rnacentral:rRNA from 1 species
UGUCACUUAUAGAUGGAUCCGCGCUGCAUUAGCUAGUUGGUAAGGUAACGGCUUACCAAGGCAACGAUGCAUAGCCGACCUGAGAGGGUGAUCGGCCACACUGGAACUGAGACACGGUCCAGACUCCUACGGGAGGCAGCAGUAGGGAAUCUUCCGCAAUGGGCGAAAGCCUGACGGAGCAACGCCGCGUGAGUGAUGAAGGUCUUCGGAUCGUAAAACUCUGUUAUUAGGGAAGAACAUAUGUGUAAGUAACUGUGCACAUCUUGACGGUACCUAAUCAGAAAGCCACGGCUAACUACGUGCCAGCAGCCGCGGUAAUACGUAGGUGGCAAGCGUUAUCCGGAAUUAUUGGGCGUAAAGCGCGCGUAGGCGGUUUUUUAAGUCUGAUGUGAAAGCCCACGGCUCAACCGUGGAGGGUCAUUGGAAACUGGAAAAC